UAAAACAUACAUACAUACAUUGAUUGAUGGAUGGAUGGAUGGAUGGAUGGAUGGAUGGAGUCUCACUCUUGCUCAGGAGUUCAAGGCUGCUGUGAGUGACAAUCAAGCCACUGCACUCCAGCCUGGGCAACACAGUGAGACCCUGUCUCAAAAAAAAAUAAAUAAAUAAAAUAAAAAUAAAACGGAAAGAAAUAUGGUGUUUGUGAAUCCAAAGCAGGGAUGAAAUGAUAUUUGCAUGUAACAUGGGUUGUCAAUCUGAGGGACUGUGGGUUGUCAAUAUCCUGCAGAGCACUCACCCUCAGACCAGCUCAGUGGGUCACACUCACUGAAGUCCGGAAAUAAUAACAACUGGCCUACCUGCUCUCACUGAGCUUAGCUCCGCACCACCCCCCGACCACUGAAGCACAUCAAAAUUCCCAGGGGGGUCCUGCCAGUGCCCUGAUGAUCAGGUGGUUCUUCCU
rnacentral:antisense_RNA from 1 species